rnacentral:rRNA from 1 species
GACAGAGGUGCCGAGCGUUAGGCGGAAUUACUGGGCGUAAAGCGCGCGUAGGCGGCUUUGCAAGUCGGGUGUGAAAUCCCCAGGCUCAACCUGGGAACUGCAUUCGAGACUGCAUUGCUAGAGUAUGGGAGAGGGAAGUGGAAUUUCAGGUGUAGCGGUGAAAUGCGUAGAUAUCGGAAAGAACACCAACGGCGAAAGCACUCUGCUGGGCCGACACUGACACUGAGAGACGAAAGCUAGGGGAGCGAAUGGG